GUGCGAUUAGUGUAGAGGUAACACGUCAGCCUUCCAAGCUGAAAUCGUGGGUUCAAUCCCCAUAUCGCACUCCA
rnacentral:tRNA from 1 species